GGACCUCGCUGAGCUGGAUGACUCUGUGCCGAAACCUCUGACUCAGCUGCUCGGGGCACAGAUGGACCAUGAGCCUGUCUCUCUCUCCGUAAUGCUCCGACCUCCUCUCUGAGAUCGCUAAUCUCAGCAGUCAUGAUAUCCAACCUGCUCGUCAAUCCAUCAAUGAUAGUCCUCGCCUGAGCUGACAUAAGCUCAGUCAUCCUACUCCAAAACUCAUCUGUGCACCCCGUGGGAACAGAUGACGAUGGGCCAGCCUCUGAAGGUGUCGUAGGAUGCUCCUCAGGUACC
rnacentral:lncRNA from 1 species